UGCUGCCACAUAAGAUGUCUCUUUGCUCUUCCUUCAUCUUCCACCAUGAUUGUGAAGCCUCCCCAGCCGUGUGGAACUGUGACUCCAUUGAACUUCUUUCCUUUAUAAUUACCCAGUCUCAGACUCUUCCUUCUGCAGCAAGUAGAAGGCAUGACUGAAGCAACUCAAGUCUACAUCAUCCCAGCUUCGCAAUCUCCCAAGAGAACAAGAGCCCCAGUUGGCCAACAUCUGAACAUAAAUUCUCAUCAGUCCACCUUCAUAAGCAGACGGGGAGGGUCUCCAGGGAUAACAGGAAUUUAACCAACUUCAGCAAUGAGCCUGGUUUACAGCCUCCUGCCCUGCAGCCUGUUCUUCCACAAACCCUGGGUAAAAUGCAGUCACCUUGUUGGUUUAAACCAGCUCUUGACAGACCCCCGGCAACAUACAGAUGAACGCAAGUGAACUUUCUCAUGACCACGCUAAAGUCUCCACCCUGGGCAACCUGUAGCUUCAUUACCAUGACAUGCAACCUAUGCGCUGACGUAAUGACUCACUGCAUCUGUGCAACUAGACCUCUCCUCGUCAUGCAAUGAUGCUCCCUGUCUCCUCUCCAUUGCGCCAUAAAACCCUCCUGUCACUUUCCCUCGGAAAGACACUGCUUUGGAGAAUACCCCCAGUGUCACCCUUACUUGAGUUAAAUAAAACUCCUAUUGAUCAAAGACAGUGUUCUUGUGGAGAGUCCUUUGUUAUUCAUGAGGUGAGUGAACCCUGGUAUUUUGGGGGUAACAAAUCUGGUACCCCAGGUGGGACUGUGGACCAAGCUCUGAC
rnacentral:lncRNA from 1 species